UGGGAUUUCCUAGAACCUCCCUCAUCCUA
rnacentral:piRNA from 1 species